ACUGCUUCCGACGAGUAAAGCUGUUUAUACUAAAAUUCAAACAAUACAGAGAAGAUUAGCAUGGCCCUUGUGCGAGGAUGACACGCAAAUUCGUGAAGCGUUCCAAAAUUUU
rfam:Oesophagostomum dentatum strain OD-Hann O_dentatum-1.0_Cont6.87, whole genome shotgun sequence.